CCUGUACUUGGGCACCAUCCCUAGCUUGUACACUGAAGGGGGAAUCCACAGCUGGACACAUUUACCAGGUCCUGCCACCUUCUCCAUCUUAACUGAGCAGAAAAGAAGAGUUGGGGCUGUUUUUCCACAGACAAAAGGCAGGCUGAGGACAUGGGGGGCAAGGACCAUAGGGUCCUGCUCCGUUUCAAAAGGACCCGCGUGGGGGACACAGGGAGCCGACACUUGCGUUCCUAGGGGCCCUUGGUGUGUGGGGGGGAUCUGCACCCCUCCGUCAAGUGCAGGGGCAUCUGGAGGUGCUUCUGCCCCGACAGCCCCCCACAUAGGCGCUCCGGCACCUCUGAGCUCCUAAGGGCCCUAGAGGAGCUCCUCAACGCAUCCGCAACCUUCCAUGACCGCUUCCAACACGAUGCGGAUCGCCACCUGCCUGAGACAAGAGGCUUGAAGCUCCCGGCCUAAGCACCAGCGGAAGAACUUGCUUGAAGCAAGCCCAGGGAGCUCAAUGACAGCCCCGCCCCUCACCCUCCUCGGCCCGCCCCUUCCGCCCCCUGGGGCGGGGCUAAGAGCGGCUUGCCCCGGAAGUCCGGAACUGAGCCGGAAAUUAAGCGCCGCUGGGCGCUGCUCCUCCCUCCUUCGGCGCGCGACAGCGUCCUGGUUUUCCGCACCCGAAUUUGGAUGUUCACUCCCAACUCUUACGAGGUCCUGAGUCCCCACCCCAUUUCUCCAGCCCAAUUUCAGCUGCAAAUUACUGCAGAACCUGAACCCAGGAAAGGAACCUAUUUCCCGCUCCGGUCUGCCCCUCUCCGGACCCGGCGAGGCCCAGGUGAGGUUCUCGCCCGCUUUCCAGCCUCACCUUCCACACUCCCCUGCCCGUCCCCCGGGGUUCCUCCGCCGCCCGACCAUGGCCCAGAAGCCGAAGGUAGACCCCCACGUCGGCCGGCUGGGAUACCUGCAGGCGCUGGUCACGGAAUUCCAGGCGACCGAGAGCCAAGACGCCAAGGAGCAAGUACUGGCCAACCUUGCCAACUUCGCCUAUGACCCCAGUAACUACCAGUAUCUGCGGCAGCUGCAGGUCCUGGAUUUAUUCCUCGAUUCACUGUCGGAGGAGAAUGAGACCCUGGUGGAGUUUGCUAUUGACCUCUCCAGCCCCAGCGAGGACUCUCAAAGUGAAGUUCCUGGGGCGCUUCGGUCCCCAAAUCAGAGUCUCAGGUAGAGGACUUUGUUCAGGGGUAAGUACUCCCCCAGACUGUCUAGUCCUGAGGUGAACUGUGGAUUCUGAAGUGAGAGCUUUGUUAAUUUUAAACAGGAAGGUGUCACUGGACAUGGAGCAGAGACAGUUCUGACCCAAGGGGAGGUCUCCCCGCUCCCAGGUGUCCUGUGGGGUCGGGGCUCCCCGCUCCAGGGCGGCCCCGCGCUGCCGCCCCCCCGCUCCCUACCGCCAGGUCCGGGCGCAGGGCUCGGUACUGCUCGCAGGCGAGGAAGCCGCGGCGCUCCUGCAGCGGCACGUACGGCUCCCGGGGGAAGCUUCGGCGGAAGCCCCGCAGGAGGCCGGCCUCGAAAUCCGCCAGAACGCCGUCCAUGUCCACCAGCACCCGCACUGGCCGCCCGCGCCGCGCAGCCAUCUGCACCGCCAUCGCAGCUAGGCAGGCGGCCCGGCGGAAAUGUGGCCCCGGGAGCCGCCGCGCGGAGCUGGGCGAGGGGACUGCAGCUUCCGGAGCCGUGGGGUGGGCGGGCCCGACUGCGGCUGAUUUGCAUGGGCAGCCCCGUUUCGGGGGGGUGGGGGGCGGCGUGGCGAUGGCUUGGGCUGCUUUCUGGUCUGAGAACGCACCUACGUGCACAUCAGCAGCCUUCCACGCUGUAGCAGACGUCCUCGCUCACCCCGAAUGUUACUCGGGGCAGAACUUCCAGGGGCCCGACAGGAGGGACUAUCCUAAAUACUGGGAAGCGUCGUCUAACAAGGAGUCAGGCCUCCUUAAACCUGAGACGCCAUACCUGCGCACCCUGCUGUGGGGACCGGAGCAGAGCUUCCGCCCCGUCACGGCAGCACCAACCCACGGCCCGAAUCACGGGGACUCCCAGUAACGGUUAGAAGUGAAUGAAUCUGCUGAAGACAACUGGUUCGUGUGAGCAGAGCUCCUCAGAGACGAGUUCAUAAACCAGAGUUGGCGUGAAACAUGGGAGCAUCUGCUUUAAACAUCCAGUUCCACCUGGAAGAGGCGAUUUUUCCACCAGGCUCAGGCAGCAAGGCAUGGGGCGCAGGCCUCUGUCGCUCCAUAUGGCACAGGAAGAUGCUUUUUGCAACGGCACUGACAAGUUAGGGCAACACCAGGUAGGUUCAGCAUCAAGACACCCUUGUUUGGGGGGCCUGAAGGGACAGCGCCUGUGGACCGUUUACUGGCCUGUCCGAUCCAGGCUUGGUAAACCCUAGUAAAGCUGACAAGAAAAGGGUUUUAAAAACCUCAGUACAAAAGAUCCUCUAACACAUUUGAAACCAAUUUAUCUGUUCUUAAAAACACGGUACUAAGUGUCACAAAGCUUUCCCUCCAAUCUACUACUAGAAAACACUCAUGCCAAGGCCUAUAGACCCAGAGGAAUCAGGACAGACAGAGAACCUGUUCUUCCAAAAUAAAAAAAGACAGCAGUACAUAAAGUGCUUCUUUUUUAAUGAAACAAAUCCAAAACAUGUACAGUCAGGCUCAAGUUGUGCAGUUCACAAGCAUGGAGAAAACAAAGAAACGAAACGACAGAGUUCAGGGCAGACGGAGCUAACCCAGGACGAGGCUGGACUUGCCACCAGGGGGGUUUCUCCGGGAUGGCACGGGCGCCGGUGCCACUGGGCUGGGCACAGGGGCAGCGGGCACAGGCUUCUCCUCGCUCUGCCCCAGGCUGGCCUGCAAGUCUGUGUCUACGUUUUCUAGGAAAACAGAAUGAAAUUAAGGCUAAUAACUAUUCCCAGUGAAGAUGAAAAGCCUAAGUGUUUUGGCUUUUGGGGUUUUUUUUUUGAGGAUGGUUCAAACCAUACCUAGAGCUAUAAAGAAGAAACCAACAAUUACCAGCCAUCUGGCAGCCACUAUCCAGAAUCAACCACUGUUAAUGUUUUGCCAUAUUUGUCCCCAGAUCUUUUUCUGUGUACGUUCCUUUCUAAAUUACAGAAAUAUAUGAAGACAUAAAUAUUUUAAAUGAGAACAUUACAGAUAAGCUCUAGGUCCGUCUUCCCUGAUGGUCCAGUGGUUAAGACUCCGCGUCCCCAAUGCAGGGGGCCCGUCACAAUAUCUGGUCAGGGAACUAGAUCCCACACACAUGCUGCAGCUAAAAGCACUAGGUCGCUGACCACCGCUCCACCUCUGUGGGUCUCCUCUCCCUAUACACAGAGGCCCUACUACUAGUUGUGUGCAUUCCUCUAGUCCAUUUGUUUUAUGUAUAUUUUGUGUAUUUUAUUUCCAGCAAAUUACAUAGAAUAGUGUUUUUGUUGUAUUUAACAUAAAUAAUAUCAAUUUUUUCUUUUUUAACUUUUGGACAUUUACCCCCACUUACACACAUGGUCAUGAUCCACCUUGCUUAAAUAAUUGCUUUAUGGUAUGUACAGAGUAUAUAUGAUUAAGCCUCUACGGAUAGCAAAAAAUUGAAACUAAUCCAACCAUUCCAAAACUGUAAUGCGCACACUCUGGAACGUGUGCCCACGGGGACACGAGCUGUCAUCUUCAAUUUGAGCAGAUUACACACCACCUUCCCCAGUGGCUGUACAGGUUCUACCCCACUGC